UACAGAGGUCCCAAGCGUUGUUCGGAUUCAUAGGGCGUAAAGGGUGUGUAGGUGGCGCCGUAAGUCGGGUGUGAAAUCUCGGGGCUUAACUCCGAAACUGCAUUCGAUACUGCGGUGCUUGAGGACUGGAGAGGAGACUGGAAUUCAUGGUGUAGCAGUGAAAUGCGUAGAGAUCAUGAGGAAGACCAGUGGCGAAGGCGGGUCUCUGGACAGUUCCUGACACUGAGACACGAAGGCCAGGGGAGCAAACGGG
rnacentral:rRNA from 1 species